GCAAACUUGGUCAUUUAGAGGAAGUAAAAGUCGUAACAAGGUCUCCGUUGGUGAACCAGCGGAGGGAUCAUUACUGAGUGUUAAAACUCCCAACCCGUGUGAACAUACCUAUCGUUGCUUCGGCGGCCUCGCCCCGGGUGCCUCAGGGCGCCCCGGACCCAGGCGACCGCCGGGGGACCCAAACUCUUGUUUUAUUCAGUAUCUUCUGAGUGGUUUAUACAAAUAAAUCAAAACUUUCAACAACGGAUCUCUUGGCUCUCGCAUCGAUGAAGAACGCAGC
rnacentral:misc_RNA from 1 species